rnacentral:rRNA from 1 species
ACCCGUCUUGAAACACGGACCAAGGAGUCUAACAUGUGCGCGAGUCAUUGGGUUGUCAAACCUAAAGGCGCAAUGAAAGUGAAGGUUUCGCCUCGCGCGGACCGAGGGAAGAUGGGGCGUGCGUCAGCGCGGCCCCCGCAUUCCCGGGGCGUCUCGUUCUCAUUGCGAGUUGAGGCGCACCCAGAGCGUACACGUUGGGACCCGAAAGAUGGUGAACUAUGCCUGGCCAGGACGAAGUCAGGGGAAACCCUGAUGGAGGUCCGUAGCGAUUCUGACGUGCAAAUCGAUCGUCGGAGCUGGGUAUAGGNNC